CGGGGUGUAGCGCAGCCUGGCAGCGUGCUCGGUUUGGGUCCGAGAGGUCCCCGGUUCGAAUCCGGGCACCCCGACAA
rnacentral:tRNA from 1 species